AUUGAACGCUGGCGGCAUGCCUUACACAUGCAAGUCGAGCGCGAAAGGGGGCAACCCGAGUAGAGCGGCGGACGGGUGAGUAACGCAUCGGAACGUGCCCAGUAGUGGGGGACAACCUCGAGAAAUCGAGGCUAAUACCGCAUACGACCCACGGGUGAAAGCGGGGACCGCAAGGCCUCGCGCUAUUGGAGCGGCCGAUGUCCGAUUAGCUAGUUGGCGGGGUAAGAGCCCACCAAGGCGACGAUCGGUAGCUGUCUGAGAGGACGACCAGCCACACUGGGACUGAGACACGGCCCAGACUCCUACGGGAGGCAGCAGGUGGGGUAAUUUUGGACAAUGGGGGCAACCCUGAUCCAGCCAUGCCGCGUGCGGGAAGAAGGCCUUCGGUUGUAACCGAC
rnacentral:rRNA from 1 species